rnacentral:rRNA from 1 species
UACGGAGGGUGCAAGCGUUAUCCGGAAUCACUGGGUUUAAAGGGUGCGUAGGCUGCUGCAUAAGUCAGAGGUGAAAGUUUGUCGCUUAACGAUAGAAUUGCCUUUGAUACUGUGCGGCUUGAAAUUAGGUGAGGUUGGCGGAAUGUGACAUGUAGCGGUGAAAUGCGUAGAUAUGUCAUAGAACGCCGAUUGCGAAGGCAGCUGGCUAACCUAAAUUUGACGCUGAAGCACGAAAGCGUGGGUAGCAAACAGG